UCGACCUGCUUUUAUAGCAGGUGGGGCUGGUUUAGCUGUGGGACCGGUUUAGCUGUGGACCAACCAACGUCAGAGAAAGCAAGCUGAGGGGAAGAGUGGCUCUCUAGUUCUGAAGUCAAGCCACGAGCUGCAGCGGAAGAUCCUGAACAUCCCCAGAGGACCCAAAUACUAGCCCAAAGAAGGCUCCAAAAUGAUGAGGCAACUGUGGCAGGGAAAUGAGCCUGAAGUGAAUGAAGCAGCACUGACUCCCUUGCCUUGUUCAGUGACUUCAUCACAAAGUGCAUUUACAUUGUAGGAGGAGCCACAGCAGCAUGGACCACAGCCUGAAGUACUGCCUGACAUUGGGUGGUUACCAGGAAGCUGUGUGUAUUGAAGGCCAAAUUCUGCUGUUACAACAGUGCAAAUCAAGAGGAAUUCCACUGGAGCAAUGUAUCUCUGCUUUUGGGAUUGAAAGCAUAAUGCACAUUGAAGUUGAACUCACUUCAGGAAAAUUACAUCUGAUUUACAUUGAUAUAAAAUAGCUAAAUUUGCCCCAUGGAUUCUGAAUAUUCCUGUUGAAAAGCAUUUGGUAAACUCAGCAUAGAUUUCCAACACCUGAAAUAAUUUAGCAGCAUCAAGACCAUGGAGUAACCAUGUCAGGUUACUGUAGCAACAUCAUUAAACAUCAUGGCUAAAUCACGCUGAUUAGGUCCCGAGACGGCAACAAACUCAGUCUGCACUCCAAGGCAUUGGCAUAACUGGCUUCCAGACAAAUAAUUAUUUUUCAACAUGAGUACAAGAUAAGUCUGCUGACCAUGAAACUUCAAGGUUUAAAUUCACCACUUCAUCAAAAAUCCUUGUAAAUUAAAGGAAAAUCUGACAAAUACUGAAUUACAUUUUGCCUUCCACAACUGACUGUUUAAUCAGCAUUAUAAAAUCAAAUAUUUAACAGCUUUAUGCUAGAGUAAAUACCUUGGGGUGAGAUUUGCCUUUUUAGCAAUUAACAGCUGAUAAAACAGCUAGGGUUCUAGCUUGUUUAACAUUUAUAGAAGAUUUAGUAGCCAGAGCGCACUGGGUCUCAGACUAGUAGCUGGCACAUAGGCAAUGAAUUGAAAAUAGCUUUAUUGUUCAAACUUUUAUUGAAGUGAAACCUGUACAAGAGACCACAUUUAUUAGACACCACCUGCUUUAAAAGAUUACCUCAAAUUAUCCCCUAAAUAUACAAAGUACAGUUUUACUCCAUCUCUGUUAAAGGACUGACUUUUUGGGGAUGGGGGCCAUCCUUUGCUUAAGACAGGUUAACUGUAGUUUGGGAUAUUUAACAUGUAAAUGGAUUGUAGUGUAUCUUGCUGAGUUCCCAGCUGGCCAUUAUGGAACACCAGGUAUCUCUGAUGUCUGCUGGCAGAAGAUGAAGUCACCAAAUAAAGUGUAGAUUCUACUCAUUUUUUUUUAAAUAGGCACUUAACUUGUCUGUAAGAAAUCCCGUUGUGCAUAUGCAAAUAGGUAACCGAACGUGCAUCAGAUAGGUAUUGUGCAUGCAAUGGGGUUUAGUGUGAGGUGCUGGUAGUCAGACUAGAUGAUCUGGUGGUCCUUUCUGAAGUUAGACUCUAUGAUUCAAUGCGUACAUAAGCAGCUGUUUGCUCAUGUAAGUGCAUAUUUAUUUUUGGACCUAUUUAUCCAGUUCAUGUCCAUGCACCUUUUGUAGUUAAAAGUGUACUGCCAAAUCUUGCUAGAUGGAUGGUGGCAAAUGAUAAGUUGUUCUCAAACUCUGAAGACCUUGUGUGGGACAUCUGAAACUUAGCGGCACUUCAUACACUAUUGUCGUGAUUUUAAUCACUAUAACUGCAAUCAUAGCUGUCUUACUAAACAUGUGAAGGUCCCUGUGUGUCUGUCCGUUCUGCACUCAUUUGGA